rnacentral:misc_RNA from 1 species
AACGCACAUUGCGCCUCCUGUUACAGGGAGGCAUGCCUGUCUGAGCGUCAUUUAAACCCAUGCCAAAGCAAUUCUUUGCGGCAGCGUGUUGGGCCUUCGUCGACGUCGAGUCCACGUGGCCUCAAAGUUAUUGGUCUAGUUGAGCGGACGAGAUCCUCUGGGACAAGACCGUUCAUGGGACCUUAAACCCUCUAAAUUUGACCUCAGAUCAGGUAGGAUUACCGCCUGAACUUAA